AUAAGGAGCAAGCGUUGUCCGGAUUUAUUGGGCGUAAAGAGCACGUAGGCGGUAAUUUAAGUCAGAUGUUAAAAGCUUCGACUCAAUCGAAGUCCGCAUUUGAAACUGAAUUGCUAGAGAAUAAGAAAGGGAAGCGGAACUCACAGUGUAGCGGUGAAAUGCGUAGAUAUUGUGAGGAACACCAGUUGCGAAGGCGACUUCCUAGCUUAUUUCUGACGCUGAGGUGCGAAAGCGUAGGGAGCGAACAGGGAUUAGAUACCCUGGUAGUCUACGCUGUAAACGUUGUUCACUAGGUGUAGGAGGUAUCGACCCCCCUUCUGUGCCACAGCUAACGCGUUAAGUGAACCGCCUGGGAAGUACGAUCGCAAGAUUA
rnacentral:rRNA from 1 species